rnacentral:tRNA from 1 species
ACGCCCUUAGUUCAAUGGUAGAACACCGGUUUCCAAAACCGUAUAUGUGGGUUCAAUUCCUACAGGGCGUG